rnacentral:rRNA from 1 species
AGAGUUGAUCCUGGCUUAGGAUGAACGCCAGCUACAGGCUUAACACAUGCAAGUCGAGGGGCAGCAUUGGAGUAGCAAUACUCAGAUGGCGACCGGCGCGACGGGUGAGUAACACGUAUCCAACCUGCCGCUUACUCGGGGAUAGCCUUUCGAAAGAAAGAUUAAUACCCGAUGGUAUAAAGAGUUCGCAUGUUCUCUUUAUUAAAGAAUUUCGGUAAGCGAUGGGGAUGCGUUCCAUUAGAUAGUUGGCGGGGUAACGGCCCACCAAGUCUACGAUGGAUAGGGGUUCUGAGAGGAAGGUCCCCCCACAUUGGAACUGAGACACGGUCCAAACUCCUACGGGAGGCAGCAGUGAGGAAUAUUGGUCAAUGGACGAGAGUCUGAACCAGCCAAGUAGCGUUAGAAGGAUGGCUGCCCUAUGGGUUGUAAACUUCUUUUAUAAGGGAAUAAAGUGAGGGACGUCGUCCUUUUCGUAUGUGCCUUAUGAAUAAGGAUCGGCUAACUCCGUGCCAGCCGCUGC